AGUGAACGCUGGCGGCAUGCCUAAUACAUGCAAGUCGAACGGAGAUUCAGUAGCUUGCUAGUUAAUCUUAGUGGCGCAAGGGUGAGUAAUAUAUAGCUAACUUGGCCAUUACUGAGGGACAACAGUUGGAAACGACUGCUAAUACCUUAUACUCCGUAUCUAUAUAAGUAGAUACGGGAAAGUUUUUCGGUAAUGGAUAGGGCUGUAUCGUAUCAGCUAGUUGGUAAGGUAAUGGCUUACCAAGGCUAUGACGCGUAACUGGUCUGGGAGGAUGAUCAGUCAACCUGGAACUGGGACACGGUCCAGACUCCUUAGGGAGGGAGCAGUAGGGAAAAUUUCUCAAUGGGGGACACCCUGAAGCAGCAACGCCGCGUGGAGGAUGGCACUUUUCGGAGCGUAAACGCCUUUUCUUGGGAAAGAAUUAUGACGGUACCCAAGGAAUAAGCACCGGCUAACUCCGUG
rnacentral:rRNA from 1 species